rnacentral:snRNA from 1 species
GGAUGUGAGGGCGAUCCGGCUGCAACAUCUGUCAUCCCAUUGGUCUCCAGGGUUGAUUCAGCUGAUCUGGCUAACUAGACGGGUGUUCCCUUCCUCCCUCAUUGCUCCAUGUGCAUCACUCCCGAAGCUGCAUGCUAGGUCAAAGAGGAUGACCGUCCCCAAUAUAGGAGGGCCAUUUUUUUGUCAAGGGUAUAUGAGUAGCUGCGAUCCCUUGUUAGAACCUCCAAAAAAACCUCUAAAAUGUUUAUAACUGAAAUGUUCACAGUAGCCAGAUUAAAGUAUCACUCUAGUUGUCCAUCAACAACAGAAUAUUA